UGACUUGAAGACGACGAGCUCAUCGCGCACAUCCUGAUCGGUCUCGAGUUCGACCUAGUGGUCUCUGCGAUCACAGCCAAGGUCGAACCCAUCUCGGUGGGUGAACUGUACACCCAACUGAUCAGCUUCGAGC
rnacentral:snoRNA from 1 species